AUAUCCUUAAGAAUGAAAUGAAAACUUAUGACACCUAGACUCACAAGCCAGUCUCUAAACACUUUGUUCAGUUGAUUAAAAGUCGUUGAGAUGUCCGAUGUCUGGUAUCACAAGAAUGUGUGACACCAGAUGUUUUUCACUUACUUGUAUAGAUAAAAUACAAAACAAGCUAUAAACCAAGACUUUUUCUAAGAUUUUUUUUUAAACUGACAAUAACAAUAUUAUAAACAGCUUUUAUCGUGUGCCCACAAGAUGUUGAAAGACGUUUGAGGCUCCAUAAGAUAAUCUUGUUAUCUGUCUGGGCUAAUUUGUGCUUAAAAAUGUUGCUCUAUAAUGCUCACUGCUGAUGUAGUUCAGAGGUGUUCAUGCACCAGAUCGACCCCCACAAUAUGCAAACUGAAGAUUAAAAACACUCAUUCCUUCCUGGAUCUUGGAACGUGCCUUGAGUUAAAAGCAGUGCAUUGCUGAGCUGCUGUGCUGGUACUCCUGUCUGCUACUCCAAACUUGGGGUGUGUUGACCCCCAUCUACUGUAGGUAAUUCACUAUCUAACUCAUACAUUCCCACUUCAAAAACCCAAACUAUCACUUCUGGCUAAUACUUAAUGUUAGAGCUGCACAGAGCGG
rnacentral:lncRNA from 15 species